UCUAGCUGGUAUAGUGCUGUGCUUUGAACUUAUCAUGUUAAAAAUGUUGAGAUAACACACAGAUGUUUGGGCUGUUGCUGGGCAGUGCUUGUACUAGACUCAAGGACUUUUCCAGCCUCCCAUGCUCUGCCGGGUGCACAAGAAGCCGGGAGGGGAGGGGGCACAGCUAAGAGAGUGGAUUCAAACUGGCCAAAGGGAUAUUCCAUAUCAUGUAACGUCAUGCCCAGUAUGUUACCUGGGAGGGGCUGGCCAGGGGAGGGAGGCAGCAAUCGCGGCUCAGGGAUGGGCAGUGUCAGUCAGCGGGUGGUGAGCGGUUGUAUUGUUUGUGUUUCUGUGGGUUUUUUCCUUUUUUUUCCUUUCCCUUCCUUUUCCAUUUUAUUAUAUUAACAUUAUUGUCAUUAUUAUCAUUAUUAUUAUUAUUAUUAUUUUAUUGUCAUUAUUAAACUGUGCUUAUCUCAACCCACAAGUUCUUUUGCUCAUCCGAUUCUCUUCCCCAUCCCACAGGGGUGGGGGGGAGUGAGCGAGCGGCUGCGCGGCGUUUAGUUGCUGACUGAGGCUGAACCACGACAGGGAUGGGAAAGAAUCAACUCAAAUACUUUUGUGUUAAAAAAAGAAUUGAUAAAAUUUUUCUUCCUUCUUUCUCUUCUUUUUAUUUGGAGCAAGGUAAGAGUACAAAAGGUAAGAUUUAUUUGGAAGAAAUUUAAAACCUGAAGUACUCAAUGAGAGAAAAAAUAUAUAUGGAAAGAAUAGGCCAAACGUAAAAAGAUAAAGGAAAAAAUUUUGUCUUACUGACACUAUGAGAUAUUGGGAAAGCCACUAGAGAAAAAUGUUGUCGUUUUCAUACUUCAGGGCUUUCAUUUCACUUUGAUGAAAAUUGAAUAACAUCCAAUUUUCCCAAUAUUGUAAAGCAUUUCACACAUAUUUGUCAUUUUCAAGCGACAAGUAAUUUCAAAAGUCACCAAGUUUAAAGCUGAUAUUUGAUGGACAGGGUAGUUCUGUAAAAAUUGAAGAGUGGUCCAAUGACUACAGCAGUAUCGUGGGAUUUAAAGUUCAUAGUUUUGCCAUAGAGUGUCUAUCUGAGCUUGGACAAGACAUUUGAUCUUUAUGUUGCAUUUCUUCCUCUGUAAAAUAGGAAAGCGUAACAUUUGUCAGUCUCAGAGGAAACUGCAAGGAUAAAUAUAUUAAUAGUCAAAAAGAAAGUUCAGGAAAAAAAGUUUUCAUUUAAGCAUACGAAAUUGCUGAUUUGAAAUGUCAUUGAGGUUCAACAGUUGAAACAGUUGAUCUUCAAAUGCUUAAUGCAAUGUCUUAUGUGGCUUUAAAUCAUUGGAACUGCAAAUAGCUACAAAUAGAUAUAAAAAGUCCUCAGGCCUCAUAAAAUACUAAUACAGUAUUUUUGAUAAUAAUUCCAGUUAUUGAAUUUCCACUACAGACUAUACUGGGAUUAAAUACAUUCACAGAAUAUUAUUAUAUAUGCUCAAAAUCUGCAAGUAGAAUUCAAUAAUGUGUUAAAAUACCAGUACCUCUGAACAGAGAAAUUAUAUAAAAUGAAGUAAGGUCUCUAUAGAUAAAGUAAAAUAAAACUUGUUUUAAGAGUUUGUUGUUUGGUUUCUGUGCAGUUGUCAAACAGGCACAUUAAAUCCCACAAUUUUUGAUAAAUUUUAAAAUAGCCAUCAAAAUGUGCACCAUGAAUUCUAGACAUAUGUUAGGACAUAGGACAUGGAUAAUAAAGGCCUGGUGGAGUUUUGUAGAAGCAAGGUGAUGAAACCUGGAAAAAAAAAAAAAAAAAAGAGAACAGCUACCUAGGAUGAAAGUAGUGUUCAGCAGCCCUGUGUGUUUCUCAGACCAUGUGUUUGUCCUCUAUGUAGCUCACGCUAUUUCUAUUAGAGCUAGGAGCACUCUUAUUUUUGCUUCUCUAUGUCUGUGCUCUUUUUGGCAGUUAAUGUUAAAAAGCAGCUGUGUGAACUGUAGUGUAUGGAAGAUAAUCUUGGAAACUUUUGGCACAAAGUAGUUUAAGUUAAGCACCUCACUUUCAUGUCAUUCUUUGUGGAAUUAUGUGAACUCCAAAUGUAUAAUAUUGAGGUGGGGAAAUUCAGCCUUACAUAAUGAUGAAACAUAUUUAUGGUCAUAAAAGUACUCCAGAGCAGUUUCUUUUCAUUUCAUAUCUACUGUAUCCAUUUUUGAGCUCCUUCAUUCACCUCCAACUUGACAGAUUUUCUGCUGCCUGCAUGAAGGCAUGCACAUCAUCUGCUCAAAAGCAAGCUGAAUUCAGUUCUACCCUGUGCAUCACUGGCAGCUUUGCCAGGCAAAUGUUAUUAUUCACUCUGUGAUCUUUAUAGUUCUGGAUGAAUAAAACUUACAGAAUGCUUUUUCGUGUUGACUGACUGUGGCAUGGGAGAUAAUCAUUAAGUUGUAUUCUAAAAAGUCAAGGUAAUCUUUAAAGUUUUCCUAAAAGAAAAAGGUGGCAUGUUAUAUUACAUGAUACUUUUUGCCUGAUACUGUAAAAACAAAUAGGUAAGUAUUGAAAAUCAGAAUUUAAUUUUUUCCCAUGGCAUUAAUAUUAAGAAUUAAAUGUUUAUUAAAGAUUUCAUUUAAAGUAUGAAAAUGAUUGUCCAGUGAUGUUAAAUUACAAAAAUUCGUGACCAGAAAAUGCAUUUCAAGACACAAAAGAGACGAUUUGCAACAGGUCAUGACCAACUGAGAAAGAAAAAUAUAUAGGCCUAAUAGUAUUGCAACAAGUGUCUAUUUUGCCUAUUACUGUAGAAGGACAAGAAUACACGGAGCAUAUUGCACUGAAAUUUGCUUCAGCCUGAUUAGGACACUUAAUGUGAUGUAAGUCUCCAGCCAGUGCUGACAAGAAGUAAUACUGUGAUUUUCCCCUUCUACCUCUUUUCCCUCUGGAAGCUUGUAAUGCCACUCACAUGAUAUUUUCUGCAAAUGUCCUUUCAGCUUUGGCUUGAACAUAAGGCCCAGGAAGAGCUUAGUUGUAGUGCUACAAGUUCUUUCUGCAUGAAAUAAAAAUAUGUGCAUUAAACUAAUUUUUACAUUAAGUCUUUUUUCUCCACCUGUGAACUGGAAAGUGCUUAUUGCAUGUAAGCCAAUACGUAUGUACCAACUUCCUACUGUAUAGAACAGACACAAUAAAUAUGUGCCGUGCUCAAAUUCAGAGAUAGAUUAAAAGUUGUACAGUCAUUGCUGUUAUCCUAGCUCAGCCCAAAGGCUGAGUUCAUAUAGGGAAUCUGACAUGGCACAGGAGUCCCUAUUGUCUCCAUUUUGUUCUCAUUAACUCGCUGAUACAUCAUUAUUACAUUGAUAAACAGUGUAGGUAUGAUCAUAGAGUGGUGACACUGUGAACUUUUCUAGCAUGUGUGCAUUAGUCCAUUUUCACAUGCCUAUUUCCCUUCUGCCUCUGGAAAAGAUAGUUAGCUCUGUGGCCCAUUGACUUCUUGGCUGCAGUAAGCCUGCUAAUGAGCUGAAUCAAAGCUUCCAGAUAACUUCACUUGUGCUACCGAAACAGACGCUAAGUAUCUGUGGCAGAGAUAAAGCAAUUACACAAAUGUGAAUGGCAUCUUGUCAUCUAAGCUGCUCGCGUCCUCUGAACAUCCAGUUUCAAGCAUUCAUUUACACAAUAUACAUAUUACCCGUUAAAACAGAAGCAGAGUAUACUUAGAAAGGGAAGUUGCAGUAAAGAUUUUUCAAGAGAUAUUAUCAUCUUAACAUUCCUUAUUGGUAUCUCCAACUCUCUGAAAAUGUAAGCUUUUCAUUUUGCCAUCAUGUUGGAGAAGGAGAACAAACCACACCUGGCAUAUUUUCAUCAUUUCUGACAUGGUUUGUUUCAAGAUGUCUAUCUGAAUUCUCAAUAUGCUCAUUUGCCUGUUUUAGCACCUCCUGCUCUCUGUCCUGUGGAUUGUGAAUGUAAUUUAUGUGCACAAUAUAGUAGUCUUUUGAAUUUGUAACUGUACCUUUGUCAUGGUUUUAGCUGGGAUAGAGUUAAUCUUCAUCACUGUAGCAGGCAUAGUGCUGUGCUUUGGACUUAAUAUAAAAAUAAUAUUGAUAACACUGAUGUUUUAGUUGUUGCUGGGUAGUGCUUAUACUAAUCAAGGACUUUUUUAUCUUCCCAUGCUCUGCCAGGUGCACAAGAAGCCGGGAGAGGGCACAGCCAGGAGAAUGGAUCCAAAUUGGCCAAAGGGAUAUUGCAUACCAUGUGACAUCAUGCCAGGUAGAAACAAGUAAAGAGGAACUGGUAUGCCUGCCAGAGAUUUUGACGCACCCAGAUCUUCACCUUCUCCCACUCUGUGAAAGCAGGAACACCAGUGGAUUUCAGUGUCACUGAAGCAGGGAAGAUAUGUUUCAUUUUCAUGCUGCAUGGAUGUUGAUGAAGGAAGAACAAACCAGCAAACAAGAAAGCAGUUAGUCUUUACCGACAGCAGUCUUCAGGGCACUGGUUUAAUUCCAUUCCAGAAGGUGCUGAUAUCAGUGAAGAUAAUUUGUUCUUCCAGGAUGUGAAAGAAGAGAAUUUCUUGCAGAACCUUUACUAUAUAUCAUUCUCACUUUGUGUUUAA